rnacentral:rRNA from 1 species
UACGAAGGGGGCUAGCGUUGCUCGGAAUCACUGGGCGUAAAGCGCACGUAGGCGGCUCUCUAAGUCAGGGGUGAAAUCCUGGAGCUCAACUCCAGAACUGCCUUUGAUACUGGAGAGCUUGAGUCCGGAAGAGGUGAGUGGAACUCCGAGUGUAGAGGUGAAAUUCGUAGAUAUUCGGAAGAACACCAGUGGCGAAGGCGGCUCACUGGUCCGGUACUGACGCUGAGGUGCGAAAGCGUGGGGAGCAAACAGG